AAAUCACUCCCGUGCAUUGCAGUGCAAUACAAAUCGCGAAGGCUUCUGUUUAACAACCAUCAAUCAGAUUAUUGUUCUCGUAGUGCACAGAUUCCACCUUCAAAAAUGUUACCGCUAGCACCGAGUCCCCACCAUUCAUCUAGAUAAACUGUGCAAGGAAUAAUUUCGCAGUUUCAGACGGAGUCCUACCAAUCAUACCAUUUGUUGACAGUUCUGCCCCGGCCUUUUUCGAAUGAAAUUUCCAAUUGCCUAAAUGAAAUGACGUGCGCACAACAGCUGCUAAGAGGUGAAGCAAUUAUAAAUAUUAGUACAAGGAAGUGAAAUUUAUUUUAUGAGCCCUUAAAAUGCGCCAUUUAAGGACCGGGAGAGUUUACUGAAGGAUUGGUACUCGUAGUGAGAUCGCUUUCCGUUACUAUGGGGUCCACAACUAUCGGUGUCUUGUUCAAAGGACUGGUCGGGCUCACGAUAGACGGCAACCACAAAAAUCGACGUUAUACGCUUAUCGCACGCAACGGCUAGGGCUUAUGUUGGUUCCGACGGAGUCGCCGGAGUUCUCGACAAUUAGAUUGGUGGUACUAUAGCAGAGAGUGUAGAUUUUUUCAAAGCGCCAGGGAAAAGUAGAAGUGAUAGGCCGUCGACUAAU